GCCGGGAUGGCGGAACGGCAGACGCGAUGGACUCAAAAUCCAUUGUCCGCAAGGGCGUGCGGGUUCGAAUCCCGCUCCCGGCA
rnacentral:tRNA from 1 species